AUAGUCGUCUCCCAAAAUUUUAUUCUUCCUGUUAAAUUUUUAUUUGUAAAUAUAGUCUUAUGGCGGAGAAAUAAUAGCGAAAGCGGUAAAUAAUUCACCGCAUUCAUUAGACUUUUUACGAUCGUGUGGAAACGGUGAAUGGUUCACCGUUUUUAAAAACGAAAAAUCAUUCACCGCUUUCUUUCUUUUUCUAUUCCUUUUUAUAUCUCUGCAAUAGUUUUAGGAGUUAUAAAUGAAUGCGGUGGAUCAUUCACCGCAUUUAAAUGCGGUGGAUCAUUCAUAGUCUAUAUAAUUUAUUUUCUCAAAAUCUCAAUCUGAUAUAUUAGAGGUCUAUUUUUAUAAUUAAUUUUUUUUUAAAAAUAAAUUUUUUUACAAUUAUAAAAAUGGGUAGGAUUAUUUGUAAAAAAAAAUUCUCCAAAUUAAACUGCUAUAGUUCAUGCAAGCUUGAAAAGGCGUAAUUCUCCUAUUUUUAUUGUCCUCGCUGGUAAAAUUAGAAAAACACUAUCUGUCACGCCCCGGGGUCCCUUUUUAGUUUAAAACAAAGUGAAAAAGCGUCUGAAUUUUUUUUUGAAAACCUGACCCCAGAGUAUGCCAGAUCCGCCACAAAUACAGGGAAUCCACUGUUCACACGGACAGAGUCUCCCCUGUAUUUGCACGGCGUCGCACAAGUACAAGAAGUCAUCCAGGCACAACCACAACAAAUGAACAUACAAAUAACCAACAGUUAUACAUUCAUACACCAUUCACCACAGUUUCACAUUUAUAUAUUCGGUACUUAAACAUAAAUCCACAUCUAUCAGUUAAAAUGUUUCCAACCACAGAAAUAGGUUUUGAAAUACUAAGAUGCAAAAUCCACAGAAAACCUUUUGAAAACUGUUUCCUACACGAAAACCUUUAUUCUUUAAAAACGCUACCACGAGGGGUAGAAAACCUUUUAUUUUACAAAAUCCAGAAAUCCAUUUAUUACAUUCACGAAAAUCCAUAUUUUCAAAUGUAAUAAAAAUACUGAACCAUAUAACUAUCUAAGCUAUAACAACUGAAAUAAUAAGGGUAAUAACUAUACCGAAAUAACCUGGGUCGGAAGCUCUAUCGACCGCUACACACG
rnacentral:lncRNA from 1 species